CCAGAUUGAAGAAACAUCAUUGAGUGCAGCGUUGAUGAAAGUUCGUAUUGCUUCUGAAUCUUCAUUAGGACAUCGAAACAUUUCAUCAACGCUGCACCCAAUUAUGUUUCUAUCCAUUUUGG